UGCAGAUCAGUUCUACACGUGAACGCGCAACGAGAGCGCGCUCAAAAAUCCCAGCUCUGGGGCCAAGUCCCUAAAACUCAUUAACCUGGUGGAUUUUUAACAGUCUCUCAAGCAUACAGCUCUUGCAAAUUUUACAAGAACAGCCCUGACCAGCCAAGGCAUGGACUCCACUAGACGCCUGAAGGUUUGCUGUGGUAUCUGGCACCCAAGAUGUUGGCAGCAGAUUCUUUAAGAUCUCAGUCUGAGCCAACAUGUGUGGGAUACGCUGGAUAAGGAGACCCCACAGCACCCCAGAUACCACUGUACACCCUCAGAGAUCUUAAGAAGUCAAUACCUUGACAGGUCAGAGCUGUUUUGACUACACAAAGGGGAACCUACACAAUAUUAGGCAGAUGGUUUUAAUGUAAUAGCUGAUCAUGUAUCUCCAUGCAUGUUAUAGUUUUAGUUCCUUUUUGUCCAUGUUUAUCUUUUACAUGUAAAUUGUUUCCAAGUAUGGCCAGUGUAAAUGAGCUGCAGCUGUGCGCUGUACAUUUUGGAAUUAGUGAAUAACAUAAUAGCUCAUGGCCAGGCUUGAAAUGAAAUGAUAUGUAAUUUGAUCCAAAUAGCACAUUGUUUAUGAAAGUCAUCGAGAUAUGCAGGUCAAUGUCACAACAUCUGAACGCAAGCUAACUAAUUCAGCUGGGACUUUCCACCAGGGAAUUUAAACAAUGUGCUUUUUAGUGGAAAAGAAAACAAAACAAAUCUAUUUCCUCUACAUUUAUCUCACAGUGCACAUGGAUUUGGUCUAUCUGAGUCCUACCUUUUUAUAUCUUCAUCACCCUUUUAUGUUUUUUUUAUUUGUCUUAAAGACGCUAAGAAGAUAACAGAUCUGGACUGAUUAGCAAGAACAUGAGAUCAGAUAUGAUUUCCUUUGUCGGUCAUGAUGCAUUUCAAGGAAAAUUUUCAACUUUGCAGUUGUGUUUAUGGUCAUUUCAUUAGUACAGAUGCUAUUGUGUUCAUUUAGAUAAAAGUGCCACUUAUACAAUUACAUGUUACUUUAUAUGCACAGCUGUGCUCAGGCUCCACUUGGGCUUUUGGGAUUUAGGCUUAUUUGGGUGGGGUGAUGACUCAUUUAAGCUCUGGCCUGGAAACCAAGGAGUGGAAGGGUUGUGUGUUUGGAUAAUCGGCAGAGCAUGCACUGCAAUGUAAUUGCUGUUUUUUGUGGUUUACUUCUGAAAGUGUGCUUUUGAGAAGGCAGGUCAGGAUCUGUGCACUGGUAAUAAACUAUUUAGGAAUUUCCAGAUGCUCAAGAGUUCCUCUUAUCAAAUGAAAGCAGUGUUUCUCUAAAAUCAUUUGCUUACCAAAUUAAGAAACAUGUAAUUCCCGUAGAUGCUAAUAAGAAUCUAGUUUAUUGGGAACAUUUUGCUUUGUACUACAAGUAGCUACUGUUAGUUUUUCAGAAGUAUAAACUGAUUAGAUGCCUCAAAACCAAAUCUAUUUUUUUGUAGUUCCCUUUAAUAUUCCAGAAUUUACAGAUAUCAUGGAUUUUGCAUCCAUGUGUAAAUCGUUCCCAAAUUCCUCAAUUCUUUUUAAUAUAUUUGCCCAGAGAAGCUACCAUACCUGACUUGUUUUGUCACCAGUUAUGACUAACAUCCUUGGAAACACCUGACACAUUGUGUAUUUUCCAAAGAUAUAAAAAAAAAAAACAGGAUGUACACAGGGUUUCAUUGGAUAUUUAAUGUUUGGACAUUAAGGUUUUCCAUCCUCUCUUGGUGCUAAAAAUACAUGUAAAUGUUUACCCUGGAAAAGUUUGACCGAUGAGGAGUUGGAAUGGUAUUUAGCCAAUCAGAAAGGUCAGAUGUGAUUGUAUAUACAAGUGGACAAAAGAUAGAAUAUAGAAGAUGAGGAUAUUUAAAGACUGAAGCAAAAACACAUUUGUGUAAAUUAUUAAUAUCUGUAUAGUAUUCAUUGUUUGUUUCAAAUUGACACACCACACAAAACACCUCUACUGGGAUGGGAGUUCUCAUCUUCUCUCUCUCUCUCUCUCUCUCUCUCUCUCUCUCUCUCUCUCUCUCUCUCUCUCUCUCUCUCUCUCUCUCUCUCUCUUUAUAUACAG